GGGAGGAGGGAAGGAGCCCGGCGUCCGACGAGCUCAAGGAGGCGGCAAUCGCCGAACUGGCUUCUCGAAGAAGGGGUGUGCGGUGGCGCGACGUCGCUCCGACGAGUGGCGGUGGACGAAGGCCGGCGCGUGGACGAGCUACCCUUCCCCUUCGCUGCAGGUAGGUGGCUCAGGCUCCGCGAAGCACGCCCGUGUCUGGUUUCUAUUUCGGCGAGGCAGAGGUGACCGGCAGACUGGAAGUACCGGCGGAGCCUACGGGAGCAGUGGCGACCGGCGAGGCCACCGGCGGAGACCGGAGGCAGAUGUUUGCCUUUUUUUCCUUGAAAAGGCUGCUACAAUGGAGAAAGAAAAGUUAUAACUUUUCAAUAAGAAAAGUUAUGUUUAGAACUUUUCCCUUUUUCAAUAAAUUUUCUUUAUUUCCAUAAGUUAUGUAUAUAAGUUUUUUAAUUUAAAAAGUUGCACGU
rnacentral:lncRNA from 1 species